CGGGUGGGGAGGCGGGAGCGAGAGCCCGCGGCGGGCGAGGCGAAGAUGGUGGCGGCUACUCCUCCUGUCAUACACGUGGACCUAAACUGCACCAGAAGCUUUUUCUAAGGAUACUUGCUGAGAAGAAAGUUUUCCCUAGUGGGCAAACCUGUCUAAGCAGAACAAGCCAGACUUGGGUUUUCCCCUGUAGUUUGAAGAGCCCUACAGAAUGAUUCCUGACAAAAUGCAACCUGCAAUUGCCUGGAGAAAAUUCAGUGUUACAUUUCAAGUUUAUUAUGUAUUUGAUGAAAUAUUGUUCUGUUAGUAAUGGACAACUAUGGUGUAGUUGUCUAGCAUUAGAAAAUUACCCUCUUAGCUGAGCAGUAAAGGUAAGGAGAGUCCCAAUUACACAAGGCCAGUAUUUGGUGUCCCAACUAAAAAUAUUAUCAUGUCUACCUGAGUCUUUGCAGAUUAUUUUUCAGCUUAGAGGUCGUUUAGCUUACACUGCUUUAAGUCUGAAUUACUGUAGUUUUCUGUUAAGUUCAGUUCUGAAUGUAAUAGUCCUUGUGAGUUUUCAAGGACAACUAAGAUGGAUGUAUCCCAUGAAUUCUAGGACUGUAGGAAAAUUGUUAAAGAAGGCUUGGUUUUCUUUUUCUAGUAAUUUAAACAGGCACGGCUUUCACAGUCAUACUUCUGUAUUUGCUACUUAGUCCUGCUGUUUGAGUUGUUUUGGUGCGUUUAAUGUAAAUAAAUAAAAUUACAUAUUUCAACACUGUUUGUUAAGAAAUUGUCCAGAAUGAGCAUAUUGAAAUAAAAAUUUCAAGGUUAUUCUUA